rnacentral:rRNA from 1 species
GACGAACGCUGGCGGCGUGCUUAACACAUGCAAGUCGAACGGAAAGGCCCUGCUUUUGUGGGGUGCUCGAGUGGCGAACGGGUGAGUAACACGUGAGUAACCUGCCCUUGACUUUGGGAUAACUUCAGGAAACUGGGGCUAAUACCGGAUAGGAGCUCCUGCUGCAUGGUGGGGGUUGGAAAGUUUCGGCGGUUGGGGGUGGACUCGCGGCUUAUCAGCUUGUUGGUGGGGUAGUGGCUUACCAAGGCUUUGGCGGGUAGCCGGCCUGAGAGGGUGACCGGCCACAUUGGGACUGAGAUACGGCCCAGACUCCUACGGGAGGCAGCAGUGGGGAAUAUUGCACAAUGGGCGGAAGCCUGAUGCAGCAACGCCGCGUGCGGGAUGACGGCCUUCGGGUUGUAAACCGCUUUCGCCUGAGACGAAGCGUGAGUGACGGUAAUGGGUAAAGAAGCACCGGCUAACUACGUG